CCUACGGGUGGCAGCAGUAGGGAAUUUUCGGCAAUGGGGGGAACCCUGACCGAGCAACGCCGCGUGAACGAAGAAGUUAUUCGUAAUGUAAAGUUCUUUUAACAGGGAAGAAAGCAAAAUUUGACGGUACCUGAAGAAUAAGCUCCGCCUAACUACGGGCCAGCAGCCGCGUUAAUACGUAGGGAGCGAGCGUUAUCGGGAAUUAUUGGGCGAAAAGGGUGGGUAGAUGGGAUAGUAAGUCUUUUGUAAAAAUGCUGGGCUAAACCCAGUAGGGCAAAAGAUACUGCAAAGCUAGAGUAUGACAGAGGCAAGUGGAACUACAUGUGUAGCGGUAAAAUGCGUAAAUAUAUGGAAGAACACCAGUGGCGAAGGCGGCUUGCUGGGUCGAUACUGACAUUGAGGCACGAAAGCGUGGGGAGCAAACAGGAUUAGAUACCCUUGUAGUC
rnacentral:rRNA from 1 species